AGAGGGUGCGAGCGUUGUCCGGAAUCACUGGGCGUAAAGGGCGCGUAGGCGGCCCGGUAAGCAGGGGGUGAAAUCUUGCGGCUCAACCGCAAGGCUGCCUUCUGAACUGUCGGGCUGGAGCACGGUAGAGGCAGAUGGAAUUCCCGGUGUAGCGGUGGAAUGCGUAGAGAUCGGGAAGAACACCAGUGGCGAAGGCGGUCUGCUGGGCCGUUGCUGACGCUGAGGCGCGACAGCGUGGGGAGCAAACAGGAUUAGAUACCCUGGUAGUCCACGCCGUAAACGAUGGGCACUAGGCGUCGGGGGGAGCGACCCUCCCGGUGCCGUCGCUAACGCAGUAAGUGCCCCGCCUGGGGAGUACGGCCGCAAGGCUGAA
rnacentral:rRNA from 1 species